rnacentral:rRNA from 1 species
CGGCGAGGAUAUUAUCGAAUGGAGGUGCUGGGGUUGUCGCUCACCUUGGACCGCUUCGCCCUCACUUCUCCACCUCACCUCGUGUACCUCACCGCGUGUGGACCUUUUGGCUUGCUUUUUUUUACACUUUAUGGGUAAAAUGUCUCUUUUGCGAUCACACUCGUCUAUAAUGUUUUCUACAGCCGAUCUCUUGCUUCUCGCAUCAAUGAACAACUCUCCGAAAUGCAAUACUUGAUGCGAAUUGCAAAAAUCAACGAAUCGAAAAGUCUUUGAACGCGCCUUGUGCCCAUUGCUAUUCCUAGGCGAAUCUUUGAUUGAGUGUCGCGCCGCAACCUACUAGGUUGCCGAGAAGGCUUGGACUUUGGAGGCUUUUGCUGGCCUUUGUUGAAUCCAACUCCUCUGAAUUGAGUUUUUGGGGGCUGCUUUGCUGAUCCUUGACGUGAUAGAUAUUUCUACCUCUUGGGUUUCGCACCGUCCUGCUUCAAACCGUCUCAAAGACAAUGGUCUACCUCUUGACCCACCUUGACCUCAAUCGGGUGAGACUACCCGCUGAUAAUCAUAACA